GACGAACGCUGGCGGCGUGCUUAACACAUGCAAGUCGAGCGGUAAGGCCCUUUCGGGGGUACACGAGCGGCGAACGGGUGAGUAACACGUGGGUGACCUGCCCUCAGCUCUGGGAUAAGCCCGGGAAACUGGGUCUAAUACCGGAUAUGACUUCAUGACGCAUGUUGUGGAGUGGAAAGCCUUGUGCGGCUGAGGAUGGGG
rnacentral:rRNA from 1 species